rnacentral:sRNA from 1 species
GCUUUCAACAUCCCCGUUUCGCGCGGGCCGCCUUCGGGACGGGCUGCGGCGAAACUGAAGGC